AUUGAACGCUGGCGGCAUGCCUUACACAUGCAAGUCGAACGGUAACAGGUCUUCGGAUGCUGACGAGUGGCGAACGGGUGAGUAAUACAUCGGAACGUGCCUAGUAGUGGGGAUAACUACUCGAAAGAGUGGCUAAUACCGCAUGAGAUCUACGGAUGAAAGAAGGGGAUCGCAAGACCUUGUGCUACUAGAGCGGCCGAUGGCAGAUUAGGUAGUUGGGGGGAUAAAAGCUUACCAAGCCGACGAUCUGUAGCUGGUCUGAGAGGACGAUCAGCCACACUGGGACUGAGACACGGCCCAGACUCCUACGGGAGGCAGCAGUGGGGAAUUUUGGACAAUGGGCGCAAGCCUGAUCCAGCAAUGCCGCGUGCAGGAUGAAGGCCUUCGGGUUGUAAACUGCUUUUGUACGGAACGAAAAGCCCUGGGUUAAUACCCUGGGGUCAUGACGGUACCGUAAGAAUAAGCACCGGCUAACUACGUGCCAGCCGCCGCAGUAAAAC
rnacentral:rRNA from 1 species